ACCUAGAACUAAGGAGGAACAGUGAGGACAUUCAACCAGUGGGACAGCUGGCCUUCAGAAGUUUUGGGUACUCCAUCACUGGAGGCUCCUAAGAGAAGAGACUAGACAAUCACUUGUCUGAAACGAUGUAAACUCUCCUGCUUUAGGAGUGGGUUGGACUAGAAGACCUCCAAGGUCCCUUCCAGCUCUAUUCUGAAUGUAAGAAAUAUGUCAUUUUGUUUUGUUUUUUAGGGGGAGCCUGCCACCUUCCCUUUCCUUGUCCCGUAUCCAUGUUUAAUGUUUAUAAAAUGUAGUGGGCAAAUCCCCCAGCAUACAUUGUUCCCAUUCAAGUCACUGCCAUGGACUCACACAUUCAUAUGGCAAUGAAACCAGCCACUUAGAAAUCAAGCUAAAGACCGCCGUGUAGGGUUGGGUGCUUUUGUGUACUCUGCAAAACUCUGUAGGCAGGAACGUGACGGAAGGGUGGUUUUAAAAGUUCAGGAUUCAUUUUGGGAUUGCAUUUGAAAAAAAAAAAACCAUUCCUAUAAGGGUGAACAAAAGUGUACAUGGACAAUUAGUUUUGUUCAUUCAUGAGCCACCCACACAUCAGGAAAGAGACCUUUCGGGUCAUACAAAGAUGAGAACUCAGUAGAAUAAAACUAGUUUGGAAAUAGCAGAAAAAAUGCUCAAACAGGAAAGAGAAAUGCUCUCUAAAACCCUCAAUAUUCAUGAUCAUGUGCUGUUCCCCACAGCCCUGUAAGAUUAGCUAGUGUCUCGGGGGCUACUGUAUGUUGGACAGAGGGGUUGAAGAAGCAUAGACCUGCUUCAAAGAUAAAUUCCUGAAUUCGUACUAGAGGUCAGACAUGAAAAAUACCUUAUUUCACCAUUCCAUCUCACGCACAGUUGGAAGGUGGCCCCGCUGAGCUCCGUCAAGCUUAUUCUUUGUAACUGCCUUCAGCAACACACUUCACCUGAUUACUGAAUUAACCUAUUUGGGGGGUGGUGGUGAUACACUGAACCGUAAACAAACCCAAAAGGCUGCAUUUGAUCAAUGUCUAGGCUAAUAAAGCUUGUAGAUAUAUCUGCUAGGUUUGACAUUGUCCGGUUAAGGGCAUUUUGUGAACACGGUCAUUAAAAGUAUUGAAAGAUGCAAUAUUACCGUAGGACAAAAGUAGCAUUGAAUUCAUUGAAGGAAGGAAGGAAGGAAGGAAGGAAGGAAGGAAGGAAGGAAGAUAUAAAAAUAUGGUGAUGAAAUUAAGAAUGGUUGAAGUUACUUUUUCUUUAAAAGCAUUUCUAAAUGUACAGGAUCUUUUUAGGGAUUUUUUGCGGUACAGAACAGUAAUCUGGGAUGGUUAUUGAAUAGUUGGUCUCCAUUCAUUAGGCAGGCCACUCAAAAUUGAUUCUCUUUUAUCUUCUUCAACUUUUGAGUGCUUCCUUUGAAAAUUCACUUGCAUAUAACCAAUAUUUAUCCUUAAAAUUGUUGAUUUGUGUUUUUGUAUAUGUAAUGGAUAUGGAUUAUUCUUCCCCUUGGAUGGUCCAGAGAUUGCUAAUUACUGACCUCGAAUAGAAUGUGGGUCCAAAGGUAAAAUAUUAAUUUGAGACUCCUCUUUUUUCCUUUUUUGCCUAUGCAUUUUUUUCCUUCUUUUUUCCAUUGAAAGUCAAUAGACCAAUAAGCAUUUUCCUUUUCAACUGAUUUCUUGUUCUGCUUUGAGUAACUGAUGAGCUAAUUUUAGGUAUAUACUACUGAAAGCUAUUGCUGAUAUGACCUUUGACUGGGUGAAAUGAAUGCACCAUAGGGCUACAAUUUUUGAACCAAGGUACUUCAAGUGGGCUAAUGUACAGAAUGUAUCCAGAAUUUGGGACCCACGACUGCUCCAUAACUCUGGGGAAGUUGUGGCUGCUGCUGUAGUCAUGUGUGCUUCAUUUUCAGCAUUUCAUGACAGUUUCCCAGCCAGUCUUGCAAUCCCUUCCUCUGUCUCUCAUACAGUAGCAGACACUUACUUAUCUGCCUCCUGGAAAUGGAAUGGAAUGGAGGAAGGAAGGAAGGAAGGAAGGAAGGAAGGAAGGAAGGAAGGAAGGAAGGAAGGAAGGAAAAUUACUUAUGUUCCUGGCCAGCCAAUAGGAAAUUGGAAGUUGCUGCUUUUUUGCCCAUCCAUUGUCAUUCUGAUCCUCUGUUUAGAUAAAGAUGUAUCUCUGAAAUGUUGACUCAGUGGGUCGUGGGUUGUGUAGUUAUUUCUAAAUAGCAAAACACAUUUUGGAAGAGUCCCAUUCCAAUUUAGGGUAUAUUUUCCCAUUGCUUCCUCCUUAAAACUUAGAUUAUAUGGUUAGGCAUCAAUGUUCUUCCCUUCUGUGAGUGUAUUGUUUCUUACACCAGCCCUUGCAACAUGUUGAAAUCUGCCAUUUUAAUAUUGUAAUUUCUCAGAAACUUUCUUCCAUGCGAAACAAACAUCUGCAUUUGUAUUUUAUUAUCCAAUAGGCUGAGAACUGGCUUUGGAUUUAUCUUGUUGAUGUUUUGAAUUGGUGUUGUGGUUGGAGGGAUCAACGUGGGAUGUAUUCCCUUCUGCUUGAAGUCUCCUUUCACCUGAGACACCUAUAUAAUUAUACGCCAGUCCAAAAUACCCUGUUUCUAGGAAAGAUGUUUGAAAAGGUGAUGACCUCACAGCUCCAUAUCCAUCUGACUGAUACUGGUUUUCUUGAUCCGUUUCAAUUAAGAUUUGGGGUAUUGUACAGAAAAUGCCUUGAACAGUUAGAAAUGGAGCUUAGAAAUGAAUGGAUGGGGAAAUGUGCUCCUACUGCUACUUCACCUAGAGUUUUUGGCACCUUCCUGUUCCUUUGUCCUUAGUAACUUUCUAGUCUGUCUAGCAGGAUUGGACCUUGUACACUCUGUUUACAGAACUUCUGGACCUUCUUGCCAGAGAAUUUUCCUGCAAGUCUGACGUUUGUCCAUUCCUUCUCAAUUUAAUGUGUUGAGACAAAAGGGAUGCUACUGAAACUCAGUCUUUUUAUUGUAGGGAUCCCGCAAGGUGGUUUUGAUGGAAGUACUCAGUGAUCAACACACCUACCUUCUGGAAGCAGGACAAAGAAGGACAGCUGAGAAACUUCUCAUGAUGAUGGUGGAACAUUGGCCAUCUCCAUAAAGAAAAAGAGAACUACGGUAGCUAAGAAAAUGUUCUUUGGGAAAAGAGUAAAAAUUCCCCAACACCAACCUUCAGUUUCUAGCCCAAAUUUGUGGGAAUGCAAGCUCAUACAUUGACUUGUCCAUCAGCGCAGUAGAUAUCAAAAGGUAUAUAAUUUUUAGCUCUGAAGGUUCUAUUUAAUUGACCUUGCCAUUCAUUCUUAAUAUGCCUAAUCUCUGUUAACUUGUCUAAAUGUCUUCUUAAAAUAACUAAGCAAGUGACAAUUAACCGGAAGAAAGAGUCAUUUUCUCUGUCUUGUCUCUAUUGCCAAUUAAUUUAAAUCUAGACCAGGAGUGGGCAAACUGUACUCAUGAGAUGCUUUUGACUUCUUUUAGAUACUUUGUUGAAAUUUUGGAAUUCCCUCUGCCUUGCUGAAAGGAAUUACAAAAUAAAUCUGCAGAAUAGAGGAGACAAUCAGAUCAGACCUCAUCUGAACACAUUGAUUUGCAACCAUUUGUGGAUGCCUGUGUUUAAAAAGGCUAUUGAAAUCAGCAGAGGCUCCUGAUCUAACUCAGCAAGUCAACUCAAUCGGUGAAUGUCUAUGAUUCAAAUGGGCAAUUCCAUCAAAUGGUCUUAAAAAUAAACCUUCAGAUGAAAGCCAUUGCGAAGCGCUAGGGCUGGGUAUUUGAAAAGAAUAAUAAGGUUAUAAGCAAAAAAAUUAACAAAGGAGAAUGAUCCACGAUGGCAUACAUUUAAGAAUUAAUUUUGCAUGAUAUUAGCUUCAGAAACACUGGAAUUUCUGAUUCUCUAUUUCAACUUUUAACAUGCAGAAAAGAGGAAAAGAGUGAUCUAGCAGGGCACUGUAAUCUAGAUGUUGGACUAGAACUGGGGAAACCCAUCUCAGUCUUGAAAGUUCAUUGAGUGACUUUGAGAAAGAGUCUCUCUCUCUCUCUCUCUCUCUCUCUCUCUCUCUCUCACUUUUCUCCCUGAUUGAAGGACUGGAGAAGUUGUGCCACUUUGAUCCAGAAAUAAAGAAUCUUUCGCACACACAGCCAUGUACAAAUGGUGGCCAACCAGCUUUGAUCAAGCGAGUCAACCAGCAUCAACAUUUCCAUUCAAGGCAGAAUUGUUUGCUUAUAGUGCUUUGAAUUUGCCUGUGGUGGAUUCAAAUUAGGCUUAAUUGCAAGUGAGGCUGAGGCUGUAUAAUAGUGGAGGUAGUUUAUUUAAUUUCUUUUUAAUAAUAAAAUAAUCCAUGUCGUUGAUUUUAUGUACUUUUAAGCAUUCACAUUUUUGCCCGUUGAUUUUGAAAGUGUCCCCAAAUAGAUAAAGUUUGGCAGGUUGCCAGGCAAGAGGCAACUAUAGUGGAAGGCAAGGAGGGGACAGUGACACAAGCUGCAAUGCAACAUUGCAUCACAAACGCUGCACCUUUGGGUAUGUGGUGUGACAUUACACCUAUGCAAAAAGGUUUAAAAUAUGUGUUGCAACAGCACAUUUGUCAUUUUAUUAAAGUGUUUCUUUGUUAUUUACCUGUGCUUUGCUUAUUUUAGUACUUAUGUUGCAAUUGCCAUUUGUUUCCCAUCUCAACACGGCAUGUUUUCAGCACUUACGGUUAAAGGGACCGCAAAGGCUGCAGAAUGUGAAUUUAGAAGCUACACACUGUCCUGUAGCUGCAGUUUUCCAGCUCUUGUGGUAGAACCUUGGACAGUCCAGAGCUUAACUAGAUAAAUUGGAUGGCCUACUUGAAUAGAGGCCAAUUUCUUAUGACCACAACAUUAUCCUUCAGAUAUCCUGGUUUCCCCCCCCCAGAUGUUUGGAUUAGAUACAGUCCUUUCCCAUUGUUUGCUAUAACUGUAAGUUGAAAUCUACAGCAUCUGGAGGACACCAAGUGGCCUAUCCUUGACUACUUCUAAACUUUCUUUAAAAUGCUAAAUUGGUGAAUGCAUUCAUAUUGAAUCAAGAUGUUGGGAUCCAAUGUUCAAAACAAACAACUAAAUGCUUCAGGGACCAGGUCUAGCAAAUGCAUUGGAAAUUGGCUAGCAUUUCUCUAGACAUCUGGUUGGUUUAAUGCACCUAAUAGCUUGACAUUUGGCCCCGAAUCUCUUCAGCUAAAUGUAUCCAUCUGUACCUGGUUUGUUUUUCUUUGUUUAUGGAUGAUCCUUCCAAACUAUACCACAUAUUAGGACCUAUAGUCAGAAGUCAAUCCUCACCACUUUUGUGUGAGGGAAUGAACUCACUGAUAAGAUUUUGUGUCCCCAUAAAAGGGGACCCCAAAUAAUUUUGUUUUAUAAAAUUUAUAGGCUGCCCAUCUUGCCUCAAAGAAUUGUCCCUUGAUAGGAUCAAGGAAUACAUCUGGAACAGGAAUAACAAUGCUUCAUUCAGAAUGUUGUCCUCCAAACUGCAGCAAAAGUCUAAUUCAGAAGCACAACCUCAGAGAAUUAUGAAUCGUGAGACACAAUCCAUAAACUCCAUUUGGCUAGCAUAAUGCAUCAGUCUGCAUUUAUCAGGGCUAUGAGUAGAUUUACAUGCUCUAAUGCUCCUCAAUAAGAAAAAGCUGGGAUCUUCUUUGUCCUUUCCUGUCCCAAGGAAUCCCCCCCCCAUAUAUUUGUCAGACACUGAUGGGCCUUGCCUGAAUUUAAUCAGAGUCUGAAGGUAGGGGAGGAAAGGUGUAUUAUUAAAGAAUGAAAAUAAUUUCAGAAGCAAUCAAUGGAUCAGAUGAUUGAUUCAGUGUGUCAAUCAGCUACAAUGCAAAACAGAUUUCUUCUAAUGAGGACUAUUGAGAUACAGACCUAGGCAGCUGUGUAGAACCACCAGUUGAAAAUGUCAGAACAAUAUGAUUAACUCAGAAUGGAAGUGAAAUAAUGGAAUAGUAUUUCCCUCUUUCACCCUCUCCAACCAGAAAUCACAGCAGAAUUCACUGGCAUGAAAUUAUGUUUUAUCAUUUAGCAUGUGAAGGAAGUCAUCAAAGAGUAGCUUAUUCAAUAAAUCCUGGUUGAGUAGAAGUAGUCCUUAGUAUGAUAUGCAAACCCAACCAUUUUAUAUGUUUUGGGGUAUAUCAGGUUAGAUUUAUAGAACAAGAGCAAAUAUCUCUAAAAUCUGCUAUUUAUAGGCAGGCAUUCAUUUAUUUUCUGUGUACUUCCUCCCUCUCCAGAUGCAACUUCAGUUCUCCAGGUAUCAUUGGACUAUUUAUUCCAGCAUCAUAAAUCACCUCGGCUCUGGAUCAUAGUCUUUGUGGUCCAAAGAGCACCUGGGAUUCACUGGUGUGAGAUUCAAAGUAUGUCACAUGGUUUGCAAGGUUAGAUAUUCCUCUGGGUUAUUUCUAGGUAUAAGGAGACACUUUUUAUUGUUCUUGUUGAGUUCAUCAAGGAUGGACAACGGGAUGGAAUUAGGAAAUGUGAAAAACCAGGCUGUAGAAUUUUAUAAUAAAUAAUACUAAUAAUAAUAAAGUUGGAAGGGACCUUGGAAGUCAUCUAGUCCAACCCCUUGCUCAGGCAGGAAACCCUAUACCAUUUCAGACAAAUGGCUGUCCAGUCUCUUCUUAAAAACCUCCAGUGUUGGAGCAUUCACUGCUUCUGGAGACCCUUUUUUAUUGUUCUUGUUGAGCAUCAAGAUGAGACAUCAGGUUGGAAUUAGGAAAUGUGAAAAACCAGGCUGUAGGAUUUUAGACAGUGAUGAUUCUGUCAGAAUUGAAGAAACUUCUUGGAUGAGAAGCAAAGAAAAAAACCCCAAGAAGUCCAGUUGCCUUCUGGAAAAGCACCUUUGGGACAACUAUGACCUGGAUGAUUGCGAAUCUCCAUAGACAAUUCUAUCACAACUGAGAAUAAGAUAAGCCCAAUAACAUUACUGAGAGUGAUUAAAAAGAAAUUCUCAAGCAUUCCGAGAAGAGGAUUGAAAAACAGAAGCUGUUUUUUUCAAGAAAAGAACACUUAAGAAAAUCACAAGGCUGAUUUUGGUAAACAUUGAUUGAAUUCUAUGGGUAUAUCACUUCUGCCUUAGCCCCGAAUAUAUAAAUGUAUUGAAAACUAUUUCCUUCAAUAUACAAUGCAAGUUUCCAUUCUGACCUUAAAGUAGGACAUCCGGAGUCCUAUUCAGGAUCGCAUUUCUAAGUAUGAAAGUAAAAUCUUGACUUUAUGAUUUUUUUCCCCCAGUUUGGAGACCUGAGCUGUCCAACUUCUGAUUGCCUGAAGAAUUAUAAUCAUCUUCAGCCAAAGUACAGUAGGUUGUGUUCAAAUCUCUAUUAACAAGGGUGGUGAAGAAGUGAUGGCGGUCUUCAUUCCAAAAUCAAGGUCCUGAGAUUUUCAAAGAGUUUAUUUAUUUAUUAAAUGUCUUUGUUUAUGAAAACAUAUAGGUUUUUUUUAAUUGAACCAGGCUUUAAGAACUGUUGCUAUAUGAAUAGCUUAGCUCAGACCACAGUUUCAAAUGCAUACAAACCUUUGAAGAAGCCAUGGCACAAGGAACCACAAUCAUACAUAUUGCUAACCCCUGUUACUACAAUGAGGGAUCACAAAGUGUAUGAAGUCAUAACUGGGAACCCAUAUUGCUUAAGAUCUUCUAAAUCAAAACUAAUGUUUUAUUCAUUUAUUCCAUUUCUCUCAUGCCUCUCUUCCAGGAGAAAAACAUGAUGCAUGUAGUAUUCCUUUCUCUUCUUUUAAGCUGAGAAUAAUAAAUAAAGCGUGUGAACAAAGUUGGGUUGAAAGAUAGUGAGAUGCCUCCAGACAUUCAGCAGGCUUCCUUGGUGAGGGGAUGGAAUCCCCAACUCUCAUGGGUAGGAGCGUGCAUCUCUCUUGAAGCAGUUUUAUAUAUGAAAGGAAAGCUGCGUUCACACUAUGCACAUUGCUUAUAAUAUAACUCACUUUCUUGUCCAUCAUCCAGUUUCAGCAGAUUAGCAUAAAAUGCCCCAAGAAAGGCUCAACAAUGGCUCUUUGCAUCUUAGGUGAAAAUGCACAUGGCCCUCUCAUGUUUCCUUUUAUCAGCCAGAUCCCUGCUAGGAUAAUAUGGAAGACUUAGCCCAUGGAGAUCUACAUGGCAUUAAUACACAAAGUAACUAAGAAUGCUGAUCCCUGUAGUGGGCUUUUUCCAAGCUUUGGAUGGGGGGAGUAAAAAUCUACCUGAAAACAAGGCACAACAUAGGAUACAGCUCAACUGGUGAGGUCCAAAAUGUACUGAAGGUUUUUCUGGGGUUCACUUCGUCAAAGACCUGUUAGUUGCUUAUUUUGCAGCCUUUUAAUUGACUGAACAUGCUGAAAUAAAGUUGCACAUUUCUAAAA